rnacentral:rRNA from 1 species
AUUGAACGCUGGCGGCAGGCCUAACACAUGCAAGUCGAACGAGUGGCGGACGGGUGAGUAAUGUCUGGGAAACUGCCCGAUGGAGGGGGAUAACUACUGGAAACGGUAGCUAAUACCGCAUACCAUCGGAUGAGCCCAGAUGGGAUGAGCUAGUAGGUGGGGUAACGGCUUACCUAGGCGAAGACCCCUCGCUGGUCUGAGAGGAUGACCAGCCACACGGGAACUGAGACACGGUCCAGACGCCUACGUGAGGCAGCAGUGGGGAAUACUGCACAAUGGGCGCAAGCCUGAUGCAGCCAUGCCGCGUGUAUGAAGAAGGCCUUCGGGUUGUAAAGUACUUUCAGCGAGGAGGCGUUACUCGCAGAAGAAGCACCGGCUAACUCCGUGCCAGCAGCCGCGGUAAUUC